rfam:Lasius niger Lnig_2.1_11518, whole genome shotgun sequence.
UUAACGGCUCUUUUCAGAGCCACCUCAAAACUUGUAUAUACUGUAAG